CCUACGGGCGGCAGCAGUGGGGAAUAUUGCACAAUGGGGGAAACCCUGAUGCAGCGACGCCGCGUGAGCGAUGAAGUAUUUCGGUAUGUAAAGCUCUAUCAGCAGGGAAGAAAAUGACGGUACCUGACUAAGAAGCCCCGGCUAACUACGUGCCAGCAGCCGCGGUAAUACGUAGGGGGCAAGCGUUAUCCGGAUUUACUGGGUGUAAAGGGAGCGUAGACGGCAGCGCAAGUCUGGAGUGAAAUUCCAUGGCUUAACCAUGGAACUGCUUUUGAUACUGUGAAGCUGGAGUGCAGGAGAGGUAAGCGGAAUUCGUGGUGUAGCGGUGAAAUGCGUAGAUAUUAGGAGGAACACCAGUGGCGAAGGCGGCUUACUGGACUGUAACUGACGUUGAGGCUCGAAAGCGUGGGGAGCAAACAGGAUUAGAUACCCCGGUAGUC
rnacentral:rRNA from 1 species